rnacentral:lncRNA from 1 species
CAUUGUGAGUCCCUUGCUUUACACUGUAGCCAUGUCUGAUAGAAAGUGUGUGGAGCUUGUCACAGGAUCAUGGAUAGGUGGAAUAGUUAACACAUUAAUCCACACAAUCAGCUUGAGGAGACUGUCCUUUUGUAGGCUAAAUGCUGUCAGCCACUUCUUCUGUGACAUUCCUUCACUGCUAAAGCUGUCAUGUUCUGACACCUCCAUGAAUGAGUUGUUGCUGUUAACCUUCUCCGGAGUCAUUGCCAUGGCCACCUUCUUGACUGUGAUCAUUUCCUACAUCUUCAUUGCUUUUGCUAGCCUAAGGAUCCACUCAGCAUCAGGCAGACAGCAAGCCUUCUCC